AUUGAACCCUGGCGGCAGGCCUAACACAUGCAAGUCGAACGGUAGCACAGAGAGCUUGCUCUUGUGUGACGAGUGGCGGAUGGGUGAGUAAUGUCUGGGAAAGUGCCCGAUGGAGGUGGAUAACUACUGUAAACGGUAGCUAAUACCGCAUAACGUCGCAAGACCAAAGAGGGGGACCUUGGGUCUUCUUGCCAUCGGAUGUGCCCAGAUGGGAUUACCUAGUAGAUCGGGUAACGGCUCACCUUGGUGACGAUCCCUAUGCUGGUCUGAGAGGAUGACCAGCCACACUGCAAGUGAGACACGGUCCAGACUCGUACGGGAGGCCGCAGUCGGGAAUAUUGCACAAUGGGCCCAAGCCUGAUGCAGCCAUACCGCGUGUAUGUAGAAUCCCUUCGGGUUGUAAAGUACUUUCAGCUAUUAGGAAGGUGUUGUGGUUUAUAUCCGCAACGAUUGACGUUACUUGCCGACGAAGCACCGGCUAACUCCGUGCCAGCAGCCACGGUAAUUCAGAGGGUGCUAGCGUUAAUUGUCAUUAUUUGGUGUAAAGCGCACGCAUGCGGUCUGUCAAGUCGGUUGUGAAAUCCCCGGGCUCAAUCUGGUAACUGCAUCCGAAACUGGCAGGCUAGAGUCUUGUAGAGGGGGGUAGAAUUCCAGGUGUAGCGGUGAAAUGCGUAGAGAUCUGGAGGAAUACCGGUGGCGAAGGCGGCCCCCUGGACAAAGACUGACGCUCAGGUGCGAAAGCGUGGGGAGCAAACAGGAUUAGAUACCCUGGUAGUCCACGCCGUAAACGAUGUCGACUUGGAGGUUGUGCCCUUGAGGCGUGGCUUCCGGAGCUAACGCGUUAAGUCGACCGCCUGGGGAGUACGGCCGCAAGGUUAAAACUCAAAUGAAUUGACGGGGGCCCGCACAAGCGGUGGAGCAUGUGGUUUAAUUCGAUGCAACGCGAAGAACCUUACCUACUCUUGACAUCCAGAGAACUUAGCAGAGAUGCUUUGGUGCCUUCGGGAACUCUGAGACAGGUGCUGCAUGGCUGUCGUCAGCUCGUGUUGUGAAAUGUUGGGUUAAGUCCCGCAACGAGCGCAACCCUUAUCCUUUGUUGCCAGCGAUUCGGUCGGGAACUCAAAGGAGACUGCCAGUGAUAAACUGGAGGAAGGUGGGGAUGACGUCA
rnacentral:rRNA from 1 species